AACAGUGUUUGUGUUGACGCGCGGCGCGUAGAUAGAUAGGGCACUGCCGAGUCUGACAAAAUAUAUUAAUUUGCCUAACAUAACCUAGGCAGCUAAUAUCUACCGCCAUGGCACUGUAAACGGAUGGAAAUAGACACGGUUUCAUGCUCGGUAGGUGAACGGAGUCAAUCAACUUUUGGCCGUAGAGCCGAACCGCUGCGCCCCAAAGCACAGACGACUGUGUGGAGGCUGGAGGAGCUACAAUGAGCUCGGAGCACCAGAGCGACAGCGAGGACGCUGAAGGCUCGCAGCAGGACAGGCCCAACAGCAGAGAGGAGAACCCUGACAUCGACGACUCCGAUGUGGAAGAUGACAUCGCACCGAGUGUUUCUCCCUCUCCGCCGGGGAGCAGCGGGAACAGGCCGGAGCGCUGCGGGAACAGGCCGGAGCGCAGCGCGAGGUCUCCGGCGUCGGAGGAGCGAGAGCCCCGCUCCGAACCUGCCGCCGUGCCGCAGAUAGGGAGCGGCGAGGUCUCCAGUACCGACAUCCGCAGGGGGAAUAGCCUGUUUUCCUGGCUUCAGAGCAGGACUAUAAGACGAGGGGUUUUUGUGGACCCAGCUAGGGAAAACUUCAGGACAAUGACCAAUUUAUACUGCUCUAUGAAUCCGGCUGCGGAGUCUGUCAACCUGAGCACUCAGACCCAUGGAGCGGUGUUCAACCUGGAGUACUCCCCGGAUGGGUCUGUGCUGACUGUGGCCUGCGAGCAGACUGAGGUCCUGCUGUUUGAUCCCAUCUCAUCCAGACACAUCAAAACCCUGACGGAGGCCCACGAGGACUGCGUCAACAACAUAAGGUUUUUGGACAAUCGUUUGUUUGCCACCUGCUCCGACGACACCACAAUUGCACUAUGGGAUCUCCGUAAGCUGAAUUCAAAGGUUUGCUCGUUGCACGGCCACGCCAGCUGGGUGAAGAACAUCGAGUACGACACCAACACUCGUCUCCUCGUCACGUCUGGCUUCGACGGCAACGUCAUCACGUGGGACACAAACAGGUUUACAGAGGACGGCUGCCCGCACAAAAAGUUCUUCCACACCCGUUACCUAAUGAGGAUGCGUCUCACACCCGACUGUUCCAAGAUGCUCAUCUCCACUUCCUCAGGGUACCUGCUCAUCCUUCAUGACCUGGACCUCACCCAGUCCCUGGAGGUGGGCAGCUACCGCAUGCUGCGAGCGCGACGGACGCCCCUCAGCUCAGAUGGAGGCACGUCAGCGUCCAGGUCAGCUGGAACUCCUCGCCAGGGAAACGACUCCAGCAAGAUCCACCCUCCUAGAGAAGGUCUUUCUCCCAGGAACAGCCUGGAGGUUUUGACUCCAGAGAUCCCCGGAGAGAGGGACCGAGGGAACUGCAUCACCUCCCUGCAGCUCCAUCCCAAAGGCUGGGCCACGCUCAUCCGCUGCUCCAGCAACAUGGACGACCAGGAGUGGACGUGUGUGUAUGAGUUCCAGGAGGGCGCGCCCACCCGCCCGCUGGUCUCACCCCGCUGUUCCCUCCGCCUCACCCACUACAUCGAGGAGGCCAACGUUGGCCGGGGCUACAUCAAGGAGUUGUGUUUCAGCCCGGACGGACGACUCAUCUGCUCCCCGUACGGCUACGGCGUCCGCCUGCUGGCCUUCGACGAGAACUGCGGCGAGCUGGUGGACUGCAUGCCCGUCCAGACCAGCUGCCUCCGGGAGAUCCGCUCCAUCUACUCGCACAGCGACGUGGUGCUCACCACCAAGUUCUCCCCGACGCACUGCCAGCUGGCCUCGGGCUGCCUCAGUGGACGCGUCGCCCUUUACCAGCCCAAGUUUUAGCAACUGGUGCUGUCAAAGAACAAUGCAUUGCAGACCUGGGUAAAGAAGUGCUAAUCAGGGUUCCUGCACAGAUCUAGGAAUAUGAAAAAUAAGAAUGUCCCAGCCACUGUUUGUACAACUACAUAUUUUCAAUGAUUUAUAACUCCUAGCCUAUUAUAGCUACACAGUAAGAUGGCAUACUUGGGAUCCUUUGGUAUAAAUGAUGUCAAAACCAUUGGAGGCAAAUUCAGUGUUUUUAAAAAAUCUGAAUUUGUAGGAACCUUGAAUAACAUUUCCAAGCAUUUGUUUUAAAGUGCUCAAAUGGACCAGGUGGGUGGGCUUUUUCUGCAUGCAGAUAUUUCAAGUAGUCGGACAUGCAGUAUAAAUGGAAUCUUGUGAUUUCUCUUUACCCUCUGCCAGACAAUCCGUAUGGGAAAACUCCACCCAUCUGGUACCUAAAAAGGGAUAAACCUUAAAAACACAUUUAAAGUAUUUCUAAACCCAGGUCUGUAGCUGUGAAGCAGACAGAGUUUGUUUGGGUGGGGACUGAAAAAAAAAGAAGAAAAUUUUAAGAAGAAGUCUUCAGCCUUGACCAGGCUGCAGUAGUGGAUUGUAACCUUAAGCCUCUCGAACCCUGAACUUCAAAAACGAACAAAAAAAAUAACGACUCAAAGCAGACUCUCAUCCAGACUGAGGAGCGGCUUAAAAAUUCCAAACCUUGAAGCUCAAGAGAUGCCUCAGUGGAAAAACAAACUGUGGCUCUUUUUCAUACUAAAGAUUAAUUUUAGUCUCUAAAUCAGUAGAAAACGUUGACUCAUUUUGAGACUGCACAUCCAGAUGUUCGCCGUCUCGGGACAAAAACACUAAGGAUGCAAACAAGCAAGCAAACGGGACAGAUUUUAAUGCGACGAGAACCAAGCGCUCGUGUCUGUCAUCCGCGCCGUCGGCGAUUGUUUUGACUGGGCUUCCUCAGCUGCUCCGCUCUGCUCAUGCCUUCUUCACAGGUGCUGCUUCUCUGCUCAUACAAUCUGAACUUUGACCUCCGACUUCAAGGACCUCAUUAUUAACGCCUUUACCCGCCUGUUUCUCUUUGAUUUCCUUCAUGGUUUUUAGUGGUGUAGGUUUUUAGUGGUUUUAUUGGUGUAUUAAUGUCGGCACUACUCGUUCACGGUGUUUGAUUCACUUGAUUCUAUGCGAUUCCCUUUUUUUUGCCAGCGUUAAGCACUAGCUACUUUGGAAUCCCUUCUCAUUUCCCUUCACAGUACGUGUGUUUUUAUCUUAAGCCUGUGAAUGGAAACUCCAUGCUGUCUGGACGAAUAGAAAAGUCCAGCCACUUUCUGUGCAAACCGUUUUGCAUAAUACUAUAUACUAUUUACAAUUACAUAUUUUGUCCUCAAAAGAUACGGCUGGCAUUAUUCUGUAUUUUUUUUGGCAUGGAGCACAGUAGUCUGUAUGUCUGUAAUUUCAGCUGACCACUGUAGUUUUAGCAAACAUUACUUAAACAGAAGCAAAUGGUGAAGUUGUUGAGGUCUACUUUAAGCUGUGGAGUAAUACACAAUUAGUGUUCGAGUGAGUAUUCACGGCAGCAGGAUGGUGUAUAUGGAAUGAUAAAAAACUUCAGUUUAUUAUAAAAAAAAAGGAACAUGUAAGCCAGUGCAACUGAGCAGCUCACUGAUGUGUUUUUAGUGUUUGACAAACAAUGGAGCUCUCUGGCACAGUGGAAUGAAUGAGAAAUCAAUAUUUAGCCACACAGACAAUACUUAUUAUUAUAGAAUCAAUUCAUAGCUGGUUUUGGUGUUUUCAUGGGUGUUAUUGAUACUAAGAACAAUAUAGAAUAUUGCCAGCCUCAUCCUUUAAUUUAACAGCUUGUUGACUUUUCAGCCAACAAUUCUUGGCAGAAGAAGUUGCCUCAGCAUUGUUUGUUUUAACCUUUCUAGGAUGAAAUUGUUGCAAAGAAACAUUGGACUGUUUUUUUGACCUUGUACCUCAUUUUGUUGUUUUUUGAAGAACGUGUUGAUCCACAUCAGUGUUUGAUUUUUCUUCCCCCCCAUUGCAUUACAUCCAGUUUCUUACUUUUACAAUGUUGUCAUAAAGGUGACCCAUUUGUUUUCUUCUCGAAGGACUGAAUGGAUUGCUUAGACUGUUCUAGAAUUGGCAAUGCUUCUGUGUUUUCAACCAGUGUGGUAUAGCUGCUGUAGGAGCCAAGCACACAAGUGGAUGUCACUCCUUAAUGUAAACUGGUUACAGUGCAUACUGACUGACUGCAGAAUAGAUAUUACGUGUAAAAAAAAAACUAAAUAAAAAAAAAGACAGACAUUAGUAUACUACUAUGCAUACCAGCCUUUAUGAAGAUUGUCCUUUCUUAUUUAUGCCAGGGUGAUGCCCUGUGUGCAGCUGUCAGAUGCCAAAAUAAUGUUUUGCUUGGACAAGGCAGUGCUUCUCCUCUGUAGAGUAACAUUAAUUGUGAGCUGAAAAAUAAAGGGGGAACAUCUGCUAUUAUCUAUUUAAAAAAAAAAAAAAAGUACAUGUGGCAAAAGCCUAAUUUGCUAAAGAAUGGUUUGACAUACAAAUACGCUUAUUCACUUUCCUGCAAAAAGUUAGUUGAGCGGAUUGAUACUUGUCUCAUUGUUGUCAGUUAAAUAUGAAGCUACAGCUAGCAGCCGCUUAGCACAGAGACUGCAAACAGUACAAACUGCUGGCCAACGGCCAAAGAAGUUGCCCACCAGUACCUCUUAAGAUCGCUAAUUAACAUAUUAAAUUUCGUUUCUUUAAUGAGUAUAAAACAGAAGUGUAAAACCAAAAAUGUGCUGUUUUACGUGGGUUAUGUACCAGACUAUUUAUUGGCAUGGACCACAACUCACUGGCGUCUGCGCUGGUUGCCUGGCAACUAAACAAAGAACUAGCUAGCUAGCUAGCUAGUCCGCGAACGGCGAUUUGUUGUUUUUACAUUUCUUUUUUUUGUACGGAUGAAACCAUAGACCGUAAAAAUAAUGAACAUGAAACAAACGAGACAUAAUGUUUUAAUAAGCGAGCUUUACAGGUGCUAGCAGUUGGGAUUUGUUGCCGCGAGCCCGGCUAGCUGUUUCCCACUGUUUCAACUUAGCUAGCUAGCUAGCUAGUUAGCGCUCUUGUAUCUUCUCAUCUAACUCGGCGCCAGAAAGGCUUGUCUCUGGGUCUUCUUCAGUCCCUCGUCCCGUCUCCUCUCAUGCUCUCCGGGCUCUCCUGGCCUGCCGCAGCCGCUCACUCUCCCUGCGCUGGUUGAUGGCCCUGGUGCUGGCGCGAAGCUUGCGGAGCCUCAGAGCCCGAAGACGCAGCUGAAGGUCCUGGGGGAUCUUCCCUCCCUUGGCCCGGAUCUCCUUCAGCCUCUGAAUGGGCGUUUUGGUCAGGGUGAAGUCACAGAUGGUGGGAUGUGGCUCCAUUCCAACGCGGCAGUGACGCGCAGACGGGAAGUAACCCUCAGCCCAAACCACCACCUUGUACUCACCCGGAUUCAGGAGACGCCAGUAGUCCCCGUCAGUGGCUGAGGAAAUAAAAACAAGACACCUGAACCCUGAACCCUCUAGCCUGAAACCUGGAACCUGUACCUGCCUCCCGCCCCAUUCCUCUUCGGCUGUGGACUUCUAUUUGGACUUGCUACGCCACCUACCAUCGACACGGCAGCCGAGUAUCUCAGCCCUGAGGCAGAUGGUGCCAUUGGAGUACCAGGUCUGAGGGUUGAUGCGGAUGAAACGGGCGACGGUAGGAACAGGAAGGACUCCGAGCACCGGAGUCUCUGGAUUCUGGUUUCCUUCAAAUAUCUGUACAAUUCAACGCAACAUCACAUAGCAGCAGUUUUAAAUUCCAUUUUGGAACCAAACCUCUUCAGAUUUGAAUCCUGAUACUACCUGACCUCCAGAUGGAGUUCCGGCCCUGCAGGAUGACUCCAGUGAACAGGGUGAGGUGGAUGGCAUCCACCUCCAGCCACUGGUGCCGGUCCUCAUGCUCAGCACACCAGGCUCCGUCGUACAGAUCUAGACCCACCUGGAUAUUCAGCCUGCCCCUGUGGGGACCCAGACCCGUCCGCUGGUAGGAAGAAGCCUGAAUCUGGCUGUCAUCGACCCGCAGGGAUUCCAGGCCGAGAGGAGGACAGUCUGGAAGGAAAUGGAUAUCAAAUCUUCUGCGGGUUUGUGUCUGUGCUUGUCCGGAGAUGCAGCUCUUUAAAGAAACAGGUCUGGGACUGACUGCUGAGGGGUUAAAAAACUCUCCCUCUUGUUUCUCUGAGUAAGCAAACACAUGGCUGAUGUAAUUAGAGGUCCCAGCGGUUGUUAUGUGGAAUAUCUCUAAUCAUCCAACGUCAGUUCACUGGAAGUUUGGAGGCCCUCUGCCAAGGAAACCGCAGAUAAGCGGAUCCGUGGAGGGUUUGAAUGUAACUUGAGACAAAGUUGAGAGGCAAGAGAGAGUAAAGUUAAACGUCCAGCAGAGCUACAGCUGCAGGGUAUUUUAUGACUUUGGGAAAAAGCAAUAACAGAACCAUCAAUCACAAAAACUACAAGUACUGGCAGGACCAACAGCUAUGUUUGUGGAGCUGGUAGGCAAUUAGGGUUAGGGAUUAGUCAUUUUUGCAAAGAAAUCACUAUCUCCAGUUUUUCCAAGUAGAACAUAUUUCCGGGUCUUCUUAGUCUACUUCUUAGUAAAUUGAAUAUAUGAGUUUUGGACUGUUGGACCGACGGCCCCUUGGGCUUUUUUUGGCACGGUUUUCUGACAAGUUAUGCAGCCUGUUCCAUCUCAAAUCAAACAUAAACUGUGUUUUUAUUUAAAUGUGCAAACAGUUACAAUAAUAUAUAAGGUAAUAUUUGAUUUCACUUAUUUACAGAUCUUUUCAUUAGCUAAUCCUCUACACAGCUUUAACAAAUACUCAAUUAGUUGCAAAAUAUUUACUGGUUCCAGCUUUUUAAAUGUGAAUAUUGUCUGAAUUUUUUCUGGCAUAUUCAAUCAUCAAGAAAGUAAUUGAUAAAAAAGAAGAAGUAAUUGUUAGCUAAGUGGAGUCAGGAGCAAAGGGUCUCUGAAAGGCAUCAUUAAUGAAUUGCACUUAACUCCCUGGCUUCUCAUAGCUUCACGCUAAAAUUAAAAGUAAAACAGAUUGUUGUCCUACCCAGUUCUGUUUUCUUAUGUUCUUUCUUGCUGUCAUCUGUUUCUUCUUCUUUAUUGUUGCUUUCUUCUUCGCUGUCUUGGCUGAUGUUUUUGGUGUCCAGCUGUUUGUCUCUGCCAGCGGCGGGGGUUAACUUUCCCUGUGCUGCUGUUGGAGUCGGUCGAUCUGUGCUGUGAUCCUGCGGCUGCACGGUGACAGACUCAGCCGUAGUAGUGGUGUUGUUGUUGAAUAAUGAAUUAAUCUCAGUUGUUGUAUGGUCUGUCAGCGCUGAGUCAAAAAAUCCUCCCAGAAAAAUCACUGCAGCCAACGUGUACAAUGACCUUUCCAUCUUCCUUUUAGUUUGCUGCUGCAGAGUGAGGGGGAAAAUAAAAUUCUGGGCCAGUUUAUGUGGAGAUGACAGAGAGCCAGACCUCCAUCCACAUCCCUCCUCCUUAAUCCCACCUCCCCUCACCCUCCCUCCCUCUCUCCCUCCCUCCCAAAAAUUCCAGCUCCCGGAAAGAAAUGGGAUUCAAAAAGACUUGAAUGAUUGCGGUUUACAUGAUGUGGGUUGUGUGUACAUCAGUGACCCAUUUAUUCAACUAUCACAUACAAAUAUUAACUUAUUAUAUGAUGAUAGUAUGACAAGAAAAGUUAACAUUUCUGCACAAUUUACACCACAUUUGUUUCAUCUUCUAAUCUCUUUUUUUCUCUCAUGACACGAUGGAAAGUAACAUUUACACAAAUAAAACUUUAACUCAAAAGAAUUUACAAGCCAGCAGAUAAAGUACAUAAAGUAAUGAGAAUAAGCUCCACCUUUACCAGCUUCAACAUUAUAGUGACUGCUAAUUCAAUUAGCAUAAUAAGGGACUUUGAAUCUUCGCCUCUAUUCCAGAUAAGCUGACUUCUUUAUGCAUUAAUGGUGCCAUCCCAAAUCCCUUAAAGGUGCCCUUCCACACAAAACCGUUUCUACUUGCAUUUUUUUUUAAAUCUGUUAGGUCCAUAUGUGUUUGUGUUAUGUU